rnacentral:lncRNA from 1 species
UGAGUUUGGCAUGACCCCUCCGACCUACAGUCCUGCCUUCAGCCUUCCUCCAAACUCUGUCACACCUCAUCUUCAGCAAGUUAAAAGGGAAGCUGAGAGUGUCUUGCCUGAGAAGGAGCCAGAAGACCUUGCCUGGGGCUACAGAGGGUUGGGUGCUUCUCUGUUUGCAAAGUGACGGGGUCUCAUCAAGGUCAAGGCGGGUACGGAGGCCAGCACGGAGGGGCCGCAACCACUACAGUAGUAUCUGGGGCCUCGGUCAACAAGCCAUUUAUCAACUUCCCAGCUCUGUGGAGGAGUAUCGCCGCCACCAUGCCCUAAACUGAUGCCCAGGCAACAGAAUGUUCCGGUUGUCACACCAGCUGAACCGACCCAGAGGAGCGGGGGCUUGGGGAGAGCUUCCUGGGUGCCCUUGAGAGGGCUGCUUUGAGCUUUGUGAAUAAACUUGAACAUACUCUC